rnacentral:rRNA from 1 species
AAAUCAACCGAGAUUCCCCCAGUAGCGGCGAGCGAACGGGGAGCAGCCCAGAGCCUGAAUCAGUGUGUGUGUUAGUGGAAGCGUCUGGAAAGGCGCGCGAUACAGGGUGACAGCCCCGUACACAAAAAUGCACAUGCUGUGAGCUCGAUGAGUAGGGCGGGACACGUGGUAUCCUGUCUGAAUAUGGGGGGACCAUCCUCCAAGGCUAAAUACUCCUGACUGACCGAUAGUGAACCAGUACCGUGAGGGAAAGGCGAAAAGAACCCCGGCGAGGGGAGUGAAAAAGAACCUGAAACCGUGUACGUACAAGCAGUGGGAGCACAGAGCAAUCUGUGUGACUGCGUACCUUUUGUAUAAUGGGUCAGCGACUUAUAUUCUGUAGCAAGGUUAACCGAAUAGGGGAGCCGAAGGGAAACCGAGUCUUAACUGGGCGUUAAGUUGCAGGGUAUAGACCCGAAACCCGGUGAUCUAGCCAUGGGCAGGUUGAAGGUUGGGUAACACUAACUGGAGGACCGAACCGACUAAUGUUGAAAAAUUAGCGGAUGACUUGUGGCUGGGGGUGAAAGGCCAAUCAAACCGGGAGAUAGCUGGUUCUCCCCGAAAGCUAUUUAGGUAGCGCCUCGUGAAUUCAUCUCCGGGGGUAGAGCACUGUUUCGGCAAGGGGGUCAUCCCGACUUACCAACCCGAUGCAAACUGCGAAUACCGGAGAAUGUUAUCACGGGAGACACACGGCGGGUGCUAACGUCCGUCGUGAAGAGGGAAACAACCCAGACCGCCAGCUAAGGUCCCAAAGUCAUGGUUAAGUGGGAAACGAUGUGGGAAGGCCCAGACAGCCAGGAUGUUGGCUUAGAAGCAGCCAUCAUUUAAAGAAAGCGUAAUAGCUCACUGGUCGAGUCGGCCUGCGCGGAAGAUGUAACGGGGCUAAACCAUGCACCGAAGCUGCGGCAGCGACGCUUAUGCGUUGUUGGGUAGGGGAGCGUUCUGUAAGCCUGCGAAGGUGUGCUGUGAGGCAUGCUGGAGGUAUCAGAAGUGCGAAUGCUGACAUAAGUAACGAUAAAGCGGGUGAAAAGCCCGCUCGCCGGAAGACCAAGGGUUCCUGUCCAACGUUAAUCGGGGCAGGGUGAGUCGACCCCUAAGGCGAGGCCGAAAGGCGUAGUCGAUGGGAAACAGGUUAAUAUUCCUGUACUUGGUGUUACUGCGAAGGGGGGACGGAGAAGGCUAUGUUGGCCGGGCGACGGUUGUCCCGGUUUAAGCGUGUAGGCUGGUUUUCCAGGCAAAUCCGGAAAAUCAAGGCUGAGGCGUGAUGACGAGGCACUACGGUGCUGAAGCAACAAAUGCCCUGCUUCCAGGAAAAGCCUCUAAGCAUCAGGUAACAUCAAAUCGUACCCCAAACCGACACAGGUGGUCAGGUAGAGAAUACCAAGGCGCUUGAGAGAACUCGGGUGAAGGAACUAGGCAAAAUGGUGCCGUAACU